rnacentral:rRNA from 1 species
GAUGAACGCUAGCGAAGGCUUAACACAUGCAAGUCGAGGGACCGGCGGAUGGGUGCGUAACGCGUAUGCAACUUGCCUCACAGUGGAGAAUAACCCGGCGAAAUCCGGACUAAUGCUCCAUACUAUGAGAUCGGAAUGCGUCCUAUUAGGUAUGUGGUGAGGUAACGGCUCACCAAGCCGACGAUAGGUAGGUGUGAUGAGAGGCAGAUCCACAGCAUUGGGACUGAGACACGGCCCAAAAUACGACGGGAGGCAGGAGUGAGGAAUAUUGGUCAAUGGAGGAAACUAUGAACCAGCCAAGUCGCGUGAAGGAAGAAGGUCUAAGGAUUGUAAACUUCUUUAGCGAGUGAGUAAGUAGCUCGAGAAUAAGUAUCGGCUAACUACGUGCCAGCAGCCGCGGUAAUAC